UCUACGUCGCGUUUGUAGCCUAGCCACCUUGCCUAUAUUUUUGCUUCCUGAAGACCUAGUGAGUUACCUCUACCCAAUUCUUGUUCUUUUUCCCCAGUCUGCCAUCUGCCCACCGACAACACGGACUCCUACCCUGCCAGACCGGUCCUCGUUGGAACCCUCCCAAUGCCGGAUUUAGUUCUCAGAGUUCCUAUGUUCGCUUCCAAGCUGCAAUAAACUGUUAUUUACAAACUCACUUCCCUGUCCUCUCUGCAUCUGGGUCCAACUUGGAACCUGAAUCCUGACAGCUUGUCAGCAUCAUCGUUCUUCUGCUUGAGCUCUACUUCUUGAGCCGCGAGCUUGGCCUUGAGGUCAUCAACCUGUCAAGACGAUGAAACAUGGAAAUGAUGAGGUCAGGAGGUGGAGAUCGGCUGAUGCUCCAACGAAAACUGUUCCAGCAGAAGGAUGCCACUCAUUUCAUGGUGUAUGCGGCCUGGCAUUGCGAGCUGAGAUUGGCUCCGACUCACCCGUGAGCAUAAAGAGGAC